GUGGUACGCCUCUAAACUCUGUUUAAUAUUUUUCGCGUAUCCUUGGCUGUUGCAAUUUAUGAAUUGGAAAUUAUGAAGAGACCAUUCUAUAUGUUUCAACCUUUUUGCCUCCUCCUUGUGUGUUCUGGAACAACCUUUAUCCUUCAUAGUGAUAGCUUUCAAAGGCUUGGUUAUUCAUGCUUGUCGUUGCACAUGCUGUGUUAGAACUACUUUCUCUGCUUAACAUAUAAUAGAUUAUAUUAUACUUGAGGAAGGUUAAAUUUGUAUCGCAAGCUAGUCUGGACAUGCGAGUAAAACUAGCUUGACCCUAUGAGGAAGUCAGAAAAACUGGCAAGCAACAAGGUUUACCUCUGGCCAGAGAGCUAGUUGCACUCGCUUUACGCAUUAAAAUGUCUCUAUCUUCUUUCUUGGAACCCCUGAACCUUAGCCAUUCGCGAUUAGAUGUGCCUCUAUAGUUCCUAGGAUAGUACCGGUUGGUUGCAUUCAAAAUUCCUGUUCCUGACACAGACUACACUUUCAUUGGUAAGGAGUUAAGAAUCUGCACCUUGUUUGUGCAUCAGGAGGACUACCAUUUUCUCGGUUUUGCGAAUCAUGACUACCUUUUUGCCGUUUUGAAUCUUUUUUCUGUGAGACAAUUUUCUCAAUACCUGAAAUCUCUGCUUUAUGAGCACUGUUUCUGAGUCUUUUUCUUCCAUUCUCACUGGUGCAGAGU
rnacentral:lncRNA from 1 species